rnacentral:rRNA from 1 species
CCCUUAGAUGUCCUGGGCCGCACGCGCGUUACACUGAUGCAUUCAACGAGCUUAUAACCUUGGCCGAGAGGCCUGGGCAAUCUUGUUAACGUGCAUCGUGAUAGGGAUAGAUUAUUGAAAUUAUUAAUCUUGAACGAGGAAUUCCUAGUAAACGCAGAUCAUCAAUCUGCAUUGAUUACGUCCCGGCCCUUUGUACACACCGCCCGUCGCACCUACCGAUUGGAUGGUCCGGUGAAGCCUCGGGAUUGUGGUUCUUGCCGCUUUAUUGUGGCGUGACCGCGAGAACUUGUCUAAACCUUAUCAUCUAGAGGAAGGUGAAGUCGUAACA